rnacentral:lncRNA from 1 species
GCUGGUAAAACCAGAAAGUAUGAUAUCCAUGAGGUGUACAAAGAAAGAAAAGUGUGUAUGAAGUCGAUCAUAAUAUUUGAGGGCCAACUACUUGUAUAUGGAAACAACCCUAACUAUUACAGCUUUGCAUUGUCACAAAUGUGAUCCUGAAUAUAUCAGACAGCUUAAAAAUUAUCUGUUCACCCACAUUGGCUCCUCUCCAUCCGAAGAUCUCCAAACUUUAUUAGAUCCUUAUACUUCCUUAGUGGCAGCAAUUUGUUGCGCCGUUGAUAUGGUAAUGAAUGAUAUGUGGAAUGUGCCUAAUUUUGUAGUUUUCCUCUCCCCCAUCAGGUGUCAAUCGUUCUGCAUGAUCAUUCAUCAAAGGCAGCAAGUCUAACUGCUCAAGUGUAGUGAGAAACUGCAAGCCUUCAGGUAACGUCUUCAGCCCACAAGCAACAGUGCAAGUGGAGGAUAUUCAUAGAAUCUGAGUAUUCUAGUUGGUGAAGACAGAAUUCUCAAAGAGAUGAAGACAGAGUUCUCAAAGAGAUGGAGACAGAAUUCUAGUUGGAGUAUUCAGGUAACGCCUCCAUUUGGUGAAGACAGAAUUCUCGAAGAGGAUUGGGGACCUGGGGACCUGCAAUUUAGUUCCUGUGUAAGGGCGGUCAUCAUAUACUUGCAGCAAGCCCUGGUUGAUCAAUUCAUUUAUAUUUUCUUCUGCUAGUUCCUCCAUAAUCUGCCCUGCUUUCUCUUGAACCAGUCCUUCAGCCACUAGUAACCGAAUAAGUUUCCCUUUGGAAAUCCAGUGGUUCUCGGGGAAGAUGGAACAAUAUAUCAAGCAGUGGUAAAGAGAAUCAGGUAAAUCUCUACAACAUAUUUUUUAUGGCAUACAUGAAGAAGCCCAUGAGCGGUAGGUCUCGGGUUCGAGACUUGGGAGCAGCCUCUCCAUAAAUGGGGGUAAGGCUAGCCGACAUUCAUCUCUCCCAGACCCUGCGUAAAGCGGGAGCCUUAUGCACUGGGUACGACCUUUUUUUUAUACAUGAAGAAGAAGCUGAUGUCUCAGCUUCUUCAUUGUCUUGGGAGUCUUUAUUUUCUUCCAUCUCAAAUUCAAUGGUAUUUGAACUAGCCAUAGAGAUCUACCAACUGUGUUUUGCAUUUGCAUACAGAAGAGAAAUAUAGCAAUAUUUAUGGGUUAGAGAUUAUGUCAUACGGUAUAUAUGCUUUGCAGUUUGAUCCUUGUUUGCAUUUCCUUCAAGCCUGUCGUAGUGUUGUGGUCUUGUAGUCCAUUUCUUAGAAAGCUUCAGGAUGUGACUUCGUGGUGGAAAUAGAGGCUUAUAGUUUGUGAUGGUUGAGCUUUGUAUCGAAGCAGCCUGCAGCGGAAGAGAUGAUGAAGAAGCUGAUGUCUCAACUUCUUAGUUCUCUUCGAAGUUUUUGUUUUCUUGUCUCUCCUUCGAUGGUAUUUGAACUUAGCCAUAUGGUGUUCUACAAAUGUGUUGAUAGCUUAUGCAGCUUGAUGCGACUCUGAGAUGGUAGCAGAUGCAAAUUUGUGAUGGUUAAGCUUUGUAAAAUCACAUUUAAUAUAAAAUUUCAAUACAAUAAAAAUAAAACAUGAUUUUAAUUGAUAUGGGAUGAGGAUGGAGAUGAAUGAUAAUGAUGGUAUGUACUACCAAAAUUACUCUUUAUUUUAUGUUAUUUUUUUUAUUGAUUUCUUUUGUUACUUUGUGCUUGGUUCAAAUGAAAACUUAAUUAUGGCGCUAGGGCGACAAUCAUUUUUUUAUUGAUUUCUUUUGUUACUUUGUGCUUGGUUCUUUUUUUAAAUCAUUAAAAAUUGAUUCUAACUAUCAACUGCCUUAUUAUACGGUUUACAAAAUAUAGUCUAAGAAUAUGGUUUUCCAAACCUUUCCCCUCCCCCAUAAAUUGUGUUACAAAUUUAAACACCAUUUUCUCCGCAUUUAGACCGUUUCAAACAAGCAUUGACGCCUCUCGUUCAUAAUUAACGAGAAUCUAAUGUGAAAAAAAAAAAGUUCAGGUGCCUAUAUCAAAAUGCAUAUUUAAUUUGGAAUGUGCCCCUUGAAAUUGUUACAGAGAAAUGCUAAUGAGACUCUUUCAAAAGUGGGAUUAGUUAUAGACUCUCUGUUACCUUAUGUUUUUUACACAAUGUUUUAAAAUGUUGACUCAAAAAAUUAACGUUAAAUUAUACCGUGACAUGGAGUCCACGAAGGGUACAACUUUUGAGAAAGUCCUUACAUUUCUCAUUCUUAGAUAUUUUUCUUUAUGACUUGUAUCCUUUCAUAGGGUAUGUCCGGCAUACCAAGCUUGGAAACCAUUAAAGCACCCAUUUACGGGGAGGAGAUGGGCUAAACCUCAUAAUGGGGUAACAAUAAUGUAGUUUAAUUUUUCUUUUGGCAAGAAUCGAAUAUAAAAUUUCUCACUUAUAAGUGAAAAUGAAUACCACUAAACUGUAGUACCAAGUGACAAAAAUUUCAUACUCCUGGCUCUUCUUAAACAUGUUUAGGGUUGGGGGAGGUGUGGGGGUCUUUAUAUAAGGAUCUUUACUAGUAAACCCUUUAGCCACGAGUACAAUUUUGGUCAUAAAUAAUACUGAACAGACGACAGUUGCUCAUGAAGCUGCCAUUUCGAUUUGUCAGAAUAUAGAUUAUCCCUAAAUAUCGUCUGUGUUGGGUAGUGAUAAACACUACGUAAUUAAGAUCUUGAAGCGCUUGUUCGCGAAAACUUCAAUUUUAGCCGCAAAUGCCAAGUUUAAAUAUAUGAAGGGAUAUGGGUAUGUGAAAUUCAAGCUCUUCAUAUUAAUGACUAAAACUAGUCUAUAAUAGAGUGCGUGUUAAGAAAAAUGCUAAUGAUUCUCUAUGAAUUAUCUAGCACUUCACAAUUUAACAUUAAUUAUCGUGCUAAUAUUAUAAGAGAACUAUUAUUAGCAUUCUAAUAAUCUCAUUUUACACUCUUCGCAAAUGUAUUUUCUUUCUAAAAUCGGUAUAACAAGGCUAAAAAAUAGUAGAAGUAAGGAAUAAUGAAAAAAUGAAAGAAAUGGGAGAACGGAGAUCGAUCCCGGUCGAAACUAGGGUCGGCGCCACCGAUUUUGCUCAAAUUUGGAGGCCUCACACGAAGAUGUGAGAAAUACUCUCAUAAAUAGAGAAAGACUCUCACUCGAGAGAGAACCCGAAGCUUCCAACUUUUGAUGUGAUGUUUGUGUAUAAUUUCCAAACAAAACUUUUGGCAACCCUUCUUCUGCCAAUCCAUAAUUAAUUUUCUAAAUUCAUUAUUUAUCGUUGCAUUUUUCACAAGGAAUCCAAUGAUCUCGUAUCAAUAUUAGUUCCAACACGUAUUUGAGCAUACAUCGCAAUCCAUAAUAUAUUGAAACAAUUGCAUUAACAGAGAAAACAUGUAAGAGCUGGAAUAAUUAAACUAAUCAGGGAGGAAUUAUGAAAAUGAUCAUAGGAGCCAGAACCCAUUAUCCACGAUUCUGAAUUAAACUAGUCAAGGAAUUAAGAAAAUGAUCAUAAGAGUUGGAACCUAUUAUCAACGAUCACAUUCCAAAUUAAACUAAUCAAGGAAAUAUGAAAAUGAUUAUUGGAGCCAGAACUCAUUAUCCAUGAUUUCGGAUUAAACUAAUGAGGGAAUUAUAAAAAUGAUCAUAGGAGCCAAAACCCAUUAUCACAAUUCCGAAUUAAACUAAUCAGGUUAUUAUAAAAAGAGAAAUUUUAUUUGAACCCAUAUAACAUCUUUCUACGCUCAACUUAAAUUUUAAAUAUGAGGUGUCCUUUUUAACCUAUUACAUAAUUACUAUAAAGUACAAGAUGUAAUUAACAAUAAAACUAAAUUUUAUUAACAAACCCACACCCAAUACUUUCACCAAUCCUUCUUCUACGAAACUUGAAAAGAGACAAAGAAAUUAGAUCAGUGACUGAAAGCCUCACAUAAAAAUCACAAGUACAUGAAGGCAUAUACCACUUCCCAAUCCAUCCUAUAGAAAACUGAGGCAAUCACACCAACGUCAAGGCAAAGAAGACAGAAGAUGGAGAUUGUGUACUAGUUAAAAUUGGUUAGGCACAAAACCAGAUAGCAUGAUAUUUAUGUAAAUAUUCAUAUAACUAAAUUCAAAUGGCAAAGAGCAUAGGCACCUAUAGAAAAAUUAUGGGUUAUUGCUAAAAAGUGGUAACAAGUCAAAGGAAAAAUACGUAAACUUUUGGAUAGCGAUAUUGGACACUCAUUUUAAGUGUUUUGCACUCAAAGGAAGGAGUGCAAGAGAUUCAAUCGAGCGUGAAAAUCACUAGCCAAAUUUUUUUCGAACAAUGUAACAAAGAUUUAAAGCCGAAUGUCAAUAGAAAAGCUGUAAUCACCAAAAAGGAUACAAUGAAGAGAGUAAAAUUGCUGAUGGAAUUGGCAACAAUAUGACCGCAAAGGGUGCUGAGGCGGACAUCAAUUACCAUACCUAAACGUGUAUAUAUAAACCUGUCAAACAAAAUAACAACUGAUGAUUUUCUAACAAAUGCAAAAUAUAACAAGAUUAAAGAAAAACUGCAAGUAGCUAAGUCUCGAAAUCAAACUCAGUAAAAACUAAAAUUAAGGAAUGCAUAAAUCAGAAUCUAAAUCAUAUUGAUUUGGUUAUUCUGCAAGAGAAAAAGUUAUCACAAAUUCAACAAGUUAGUAAUAUAGGUGUAAAGAUAAAUUUACAUAUUGAAUUGGGUUUGUGGGGGUAGUUUAUAUAGUAAAUUUGGGUUUAAAAAGAUAUUGAUAGCUUAAUUAAAAAGUUAUGUGGAAAGAGACUAUAUGGAUUCAAAUAAAAUUUUCUUGAUGAAAAUGAUCAUAAGAGCUGGAACCCAUUAUCCACGAUUCCACAGUGGAAGAAAAUGAUCAUAAGAGCAGGAACCCAUUAUCCACCCAUUAUCCACGAUUCCACAGUGGAAGAAAAUGAUCAUAAGAGCAGGAACCCAUUAUCCACGAUUCCACAGUGAAAGACUUGUCAACCUUUUGAAAGUCCAAUUAGAAACUUUAAUCCAAACCCCUGCAAAUAAGUUAGGGUGACUCGAGAAAACUUAAAACAAAAAUACGUAGAGUGUGAACCAAGGUUCAUAGGCAGAUCAAAGUCAAAUCAAAGUCAAAUCAAAGUCUAUAAAUCUUGCGUACCCUUUGCACUAUCAUUCAUCUCCACCUUCACCCAUAAAAAAUAAAUUAAGGAAGGAAUUUGUUCCGGCACCGCCGCUGGGGGCUUGAAAUUUGGGGGCCGAAGCGAUCGCAAAAUGGAGCCCUACAUAUGAGCAACCGUCAUAAAAAGUUUCUAAUUUCUUUGCUUUUUUCUCACUUUAUUCUCGCAGAUAAUUAACUUAGAAAAGACUUUAUUCGUAGAUAAUUAACCAAGAAAAAAUUAUGCAAAUGACAUAUUGGUAAAAAAAGGACUCUCGUAUUGAGGAGUCUUACGCGACUUGUGACGAGUUACUUGUCACACUACACAUGGGUGAUUGUACUAAAUUGAGGUGUAUGGUAUAUAGAAAUUCUAAUUUGUAAUCAAGUUUUAAUUUCAAUGACGUUAAAGUUUAAUAAAAAAUUGUCAUGCGUUUAAAAUUACACUAUUUUCAAUAAACAAAUGAAGAAUCUCUUGUAUGGUAGAGAAUAAAUGAAAAGAGUGGAUGACGCAGAAUAAAACGAUGUAAGGGUUAUCAACGUAAUCCAUUGCACAACAAAAUCUAGAAAUCCAUCAGAAAAUUGAAUGAAAUCCCAAAGGGUUUUUGUUUGAUUAAUUCUUGAAUGAUUGUCAUUGACACAUCCAGAUGACUUAAAUAAAGAUUACAAAUGUUUGGAACAACUCAAAUGACUUCUAAUAAUUACAACAACAUUAGUUAAACAUUAAUCGGACUACAAACGAAGAGUCCGAUUUUUAUUUCGAAACUUUAAACGCUAUUUUGAAGGUUGAAAUGAACCCAGAUGACCAAAAUCCAUCAAACAUCGAGGCCUAAGCAGUGUGUUGGACUUGUGGCACCAUUGUUUUUUUGGAAAGUUAUCACGGGCCAAAUCGAGUCUUGAAUAUUCAAAUAUUACUGUCCCUUUAUCUUUCCACGGUUCAUUUCCUAUUCUACAUCAAUGGACGACUCAAGGGUCCUCCCUUUGAUAGUCCAAUUAGAAACAUAAGCAUAUAUUGACCCAAAAGGAAGAAAGAAACAGAAGCAUAUAAUUAUUGUCCAAACCCCUGCAAGCUAAAGUCUAUAAAUCUUGCCUUCCCUUUGCACUAUCAUUCAUCUCCACGUUGUGGUGAAAGGAUUUUCGAAGUUAUUGUUUCUGCUUCCGAAGAUGAAUGGUUCUUCAGCAAAGCUGGUGGCAAUUACAACACUAGUGUUGCUUCUAAUGGGGGAUUUCCAAGUAACUUGUGGACCACUGCCUCAUGGUAUAAUAAUAAUUAUCUUCCUUUUAUAAGAUAUCCAAGCAUUAGUAUUAGCUACUUAAAUCGACUUAGUUUUUACCAAUUUUAUUAUUUGGUAACUAAUUUCUUGCUUCUUGUGAUUUUCUCAUGUAAUUGAACAAGGUUGCUUUGAAUGCCAAAGUGAUAUUUUGAGCACGAAAGUGGUGCCCGAUCGCCGCAGUCUAAGACCAUUCAAAAGGCCGCCACCUCCACCUGCUCGCAAUCCGCGAUGGAUUUGGAGUGUCCCCCCAACUCCAAAUCAACUGCAAUCGCAUAUCCACCGAUCCUCCCCACCAACUCCAGAAACUCCAAAUAAGGCUUGACACACCCACCCCACCACACCCCCCGGGGGGGGGGGGCGGCAAACCCCUGAGGAACAUCCGGGGGACCGCAUAGUUCCUAUUUUCUUGUAUUUUUAUUUGUUUUCUUAAGAAGAGUCAAGUUUAUCUCUUUAUUGUAUUUUUUUACCUUAUUAUUUCUUCUUAUAUAAUGAGCUAAACUUUAUGUCCCCUUAACUAAAUGCAACUUCUUUUUUCUAAUUCUAUAAAAUUUCUCUUAUGCAGUCGAGGUUUCUUUAAAAAAAAUGGAACAAACCAACCAACCAACCAACCAACCAUGAAACUAAGAAACAGAAAAUUAAGCCAUAAUAUUCAAGCAAGAUGACCGAUAGAUAUAAUUGAAUUCUAUUAACAUUCAUCAAUGCAAUUGAAUAAUAAAAUAAAAAAAUUGAAUUCAAAGAACGUCAAAUUUCAACCAAAGAGAAAAAAGGACACAUCCAAUUUAUUAAGCAAAGAUUUCAAUCGAUAGGUGAUGAGUCGAUAUUAUUCUAUAUUUUUACCCUAAUCUUAGUUAUAACUAGAAAAUACGCCCGAGCGUUGCUGCGGGAACCAGCUGUUUCAGGCGUAAUCGGAUGAAUAAAACACAUUUAAAUUGAAUAAGAAUGUCCCCAUGAUUAGUUUCUCGUUUAUUUUUCACAAACCAAACACAUUUAAAAUCCAAGUACGAAAGCUUUGCAAAGAUAAAUAAACAUGCAAUUAGGGCACAUAAUCGUAUACCUAAAAAUAGCAAGGAACCAACUUCUUCCUCCCACAACCAGAGUUCCUGAAAUUUCCAAAGAAAGUAAAUCCGUUGGCAAUUCAGAGAAAUUGGAGGACCAAAUCGUAUUAAAUUUGAGAUAAAUGUGCAAAGGUACACCUAUUAAAUGAGAUACUAAACACAUUUCGAAUCUGUGAAAUAGAAGAACAAGCAUGUUAAGACUCCCAAGAUGGUUUGUUGAGCACAAUAAUAUAGGUUAAUAAAGGUAAAUCCCAAUCCAAAUCUCCAACCUUUUAACCCAAAAUGAAAACAAAAAGCAUGGAACAUAUAUUUCAGUUUUAUUAUUAGAUUUUCUAAAUCCUCAAUUUGAAUGUGUUGUAAAGAUAAUACCAUCAACUAAGGGUGGCAAUCUGACCAUCGUUGUGCAUGUCAUGUCGGCUCUAUGCAACUGAAUAUAUAAAAUUUAAGCAGCCCCAGACAGUCUCCUAAGCAUCUACAAACCGUUAACAUUAUUUCCCCAAUCUUAUUUCCCAAUUUUAUUAAAUGUUGCAGAAACGAUCACAAUUUACUCCCUUCCGAUUUCCACCUAACUCCGAACAAACAAUAUUGAUAAAUCUUUAUCAUCACCCUUAACAAAACAAAUUAUAGCGAAAAGAAAAAAAAAUUCCUAUGAAAACAAAUUCUUCUGGAUGUCCAGCUCUACCCAUCUAUGGGAAGGCAAGCAAUCGGACGUACAUUCAGACCAAGCAAAAUAAAUUUUACAAUUUAUCAAAACAGCAACCGAUUCUCCCGAAUAGAACACACACAUAGCAACAUAUUAUUCACCAUAUUCUAUGCUUUCAUUUUCGUUCUCUCUUUAGUUAUCUAAACUUAUAAUUAUCAAAACAACAAUAGAAUCAUAGAGAAACCUUCAAUCAUUUAUCAAAACUGAAUUAAUUAAACUUCUGCUCAGCAGUCCGUUAAUUUUAAUUGCAACUCAUUCUAAAAAUUAAAAAAAUUGCAUUUGAAUAAUCAAAUGCACUUACACAUUACAUUCCUUUUAUUGGUUCUUGACACAAUACAUUUUAGGAUUGAUGUUACAAUAAUAUCACUGCAAACUUGCACACAAAUGUUUGACUGAAUUCAGAACCACUUAAUUCAAUAUAAAAAAUUACCUCACAUGCUUGCUCCCCUUUUUCUCUCGCAUCGUCGGCUCCGCUUCUAAACGGUUAAUGAAGUCCUAAAAACAGAAAAACAAAAAACAUUUACCAAUCCAACAUUUCAACAUAUGGUUUUGGCAGGUAUAACAUUUCAACAUAAGCAUGAUAUAGAAAGACAGAAAUCCACAUGUCAGUUUGCUUUUUCAGAACCAACAGAAAGGGCAACUACAAGAGAAUGUAACCAAUUUUAAACAGUAAAUCAAUCUCCCAAUAAAGGAGAACAUAAGCAUGACAUACAACGAUCGAAGGGAAAAUUUAAUUUGGUUUCCUCAAAAGCAACGCAAAUCAAAUUGAACAAAGUGAAAACCGGAUAGACAAAGAUUAGAAAUUUGCUUGCAUCUCUAUCAUAUCCCGCAUUUCCUUUACAAAAUAAACAAUCAUGAAUACAGAGCACAUGAAAAUCAGCAAACCAAAAAAACCCUAUUUUUUAUCAUGUCGAACAAUCACGAAUGUAGAAAAUUAUACAAAACAGUCCCUAAUUUUGACUACGGACUUUAUAUACACAACGGCCUAAAACAACACAAAAUUUAAUCAAUUCCAUCCAAAUUCAAUAUUAUGCAUCAAAGAAAACAAUCUAUCUAUUCCUAAACCAAAAUGAUCACACAAGACAAAUUUUCCAAAUUCCGAAACAGCAAUUCAAUCUGUCAAUUCCUAAACAAAUUCUCAUAAUAACAAUCCCAACUUUAUUAUUGACAAUAUACCUUCAUCGUGCACUGAAAGAUGCCAAAUUCUAUUACCAAGGAGAACAAACUUUUUCUAAUGUUUAGGCAUGGGUGGCAUGUCUGAGCAUCUGUGCAAUCCACACACACACACACAUAUUACCACUUAUAUACAUAUAUAUUUUAUCACUGAUUGAAUAUAGCAAGGCUAGUCAGAAGGUAAAGCUAAAAGCAAUGAAGAUCAAAGAACAUUGAGAUGCACUCUGAAAGUAAGAGUUAUAGUAAAAUCCAUGCUAAAAUAAACAGCAGAUAAUCACAUGAAUUUAAGCAACAAAAAAAAAAAAAAGGAACCAAAAGAAACAGAAAAGUACCUGAAGACAUUCAAGCCAUCGAAUAUAGUUUUACUGAGAAAUUGAAAGGAUUUCCGGGUUCGGGAUCGUGAAGCUUAGCAAGCAGGCAUGGCUUUCAGAAGGAUGGGUCGGAAAACUGAUUGAUUUGGACACCCGGAACUGAGCUGAGCUGAGCUGAAAUGGAGGUGGGGUGGUCAGUUGUGGGGGUGUGUGUGUGAGUGUGUGUGUGUUCAGUAGAACUGCUUUGUGCUUUUUGGCUGGUGGAUAUAGUGGACGAAACAGAGAAAUCUAGGGAGGAAACAGUGCAUUACCUGUUGAAUCAAACGCCAAAAGCAAUUGAGAGGCUUCCUAGAUCAUAAAUUUUGUCAAAGAUGUUUUCAGAAUGUAUACUAUGUGGAAUAAUGGUAAUUAAAAUUUACCUUAACACUGCCUUUAAGAAAAUUGGCUUCUUGGAGAGUUUUUGGUUCAACCUGAAUAGAAAACCAACAAAAAUUACCAUCAUCGAACAUGAAAUUGAAUCAUUACAAAAUGAAUUUAGUAGUAAGAUCAUCAAACAUGAUGCUUUCUAGACCAAAUACAUUGACAAAGUACUUGAUGGUCAAUCAUUUUUUAAAUUCCGUUUAAAAGCAAAAGUAUAAAAGUGACCUUACUCUUACUUAUCUAAACUAAGUCUUUAUAGUGAUGUUAAUACCUGUUCCAAUUAUUCUUGCUGAUUGAAGAAACAGCCUGAAGCACAUCUUUAUUGUUAGAACACAAACCACCAGGUAUGAAAUAGUGUAUUCAGUUUUCUCAUUUGCCUGAAUAAGAUAAUAUAGAACUAAGGUUAGGAAGCAUAACACAGGAGAAGAAAACUGUAAAAUCAAACAGUGGAUUUACUUUUCUUAUUUCCCCUCCACUACAGCCGCACCAUCAACACUACUAAAAUCUGGGUUUGAUGAACUUACUGGGUCCAUCUGGUAGGACAAAAAAAUUUGAAUUUACCAUUGUGGCAUGGAUGAAUGCAAAAGCAUUCCAAAAUUUUUUCCCAACUUUUAAAAUUAAUUAGUAAGAUUGUGAAUUUGACUUGAAUGGCUUCAGCUGGAGCUAAGUAAGCUUACAGUGGGUGAAUAAAAGGGUUAAAGACACUUUGCAAAAAAUAUAAAAAGGGUUAAAGACAUUGCAAUUCAGCUUCAUACCAAACAAUAGACAAAGCACGAUAGCAUGUUGCAAACUAAUUGUUCAAUCAAAUUGAAAGGAAAAGUUGCAGGACAAAGAUAUUCACCUAUCAAAGCAGCAAAUCCCACAAACCCACAUUCACAAAUACAUAUUUCACUACAAGAAAGAGACUGCACUACUCUCGUCUUAAACACAAACCUCUUCAUCAACUAUCACAAAUAAGCCAUUGUAAGGACUAUUUCCACAUCACAAUAAAAAUAAAGUACAUGAAGUAAAGCUCAUAUUUUUAGCAGAGGUAUUUUAACAAUUCUGCAAGUGAUUGAUUGGCCAGGUAGGGAGAGUAAUUCUCUUAGCCCCACUGCAUCCCGGGUUCAAAGUUCUAACCAACCCCUGUCCCCUUGGUGUAGUUUUCAGGAUAAAUACCACGUUUUAAUAACUAAAAACAUCAAUUCUGAUCAUCCCUACCAGUUUAAGCACGCUAAACACCAAAUUUAAUAUGGUCUUGUCUUAGGUCACCCAACCCCUUAUACAAAACCCAAGAUUAAGUUCCUAACGGAAACAUUACCUGUUUUAGAUUUUCCCAUAGCUGGCUGUACAACAACACACAUCACGACAAUUCCUCAACCAAUCCAACCAAAGGUAAUUUACACUGACCCACUGUCAUGUUGUUCUCCAAAAUCUUGCCAAAACUCAUCAGUUCCCCUUCAUUCGGCAUCAUCUGCGUCAGUCUUGCCUACAAAACAAUCAAAACGCCAGAAUAAAAAACAAAUUCUUUCAGAAAAAUCAAAGAAAUUCAAUCAGGUCAUCAAUCAAUUAAGUACCUAAUUCCCCUGGAUGUCUUGAAUAAAUAUAACACUCCAACAUAAAUUAACUACCCAAUAUUAAUUUUUCCUGUUUCUUUCUUAUUCUCGGGAAAGAAACAAACCCAAAAACAAAUAAUUGAAGAAAACAUACAGAAAAUAUUGGGGAGGAGUAACAUACAAUCUGCUGAAUUCUUCUUCGCUUUGCAGAUAAGAGAUGGUGGCCGAACUAAACUGCGAAAAAGAGAGAUUCAGAGUAAGAAUUUGAGGUGAAAACAAAUGGACACAGGGAAAUGAACUUAACCUGCGACGACAUAAUGGAUUUAAUCUAUGACAGUGCAGUGCACUUAAUCUGUGGCAGAUUCACACACAAACAAAAAUGCAUUUAGACUUAAUUUUAAAAAAAAAAUGCACUACAUAAACACCACCAUUGAGCUACUCAACACUACAAUUUUCUUUUCCUUUUCCCCCAUUUUUCUCAGCCACCAACCAAAGGGUAAGCUUCAAAAUGUCAAUUUUCAUUUCCUUUCCUACACCUGCCCUAAGCAUCCCUAAAAUGACAUAUAUAAACUCAAGCUUUGAUAGUUAAAUGUUAAGGAUCAGCAAUGAUCAUAUUGACCCUUUUUAAAUAAGUUUAUCAAACCUCAGCUAUAAACUGGGACAUCAUGUACUUAAACAGCUCCGGUUCUGUAAAUCGGACUUCUUGAAGAAUGUAGUGGAUCUACAAUAACAUUACAUGAACCUUUAUCUAUUAUCUGCCAAACCACUCAUUGAGCACCAAAAGAAAUGGUGAUAUUAAUAUAGAAGAUAAGGAUAAAAAAAAAUAGUGAGUAAUGACACGCCAAUUACAUGUCCAGACACCUCCCCCCGUGCGAAAGCAAGUAAAAGUGAAACUAUAAUAUAGGUUUCUUUGUGAAAAGAACUUGUAUAAACAUAGGCAUCUUCAAUUAAUUUAAAUAAGCAAGAGAUGGGUGAACUGGGCUGGUAGGAUCAGCAGCUUAGUUUUCAUUUACAUUCAAUUCAGCUGACAUCAAGACCCAUUGUACAAUUAACUGGAUGACCUUAAACGUUUCUGAUCACAAAAGUUGUGAUCGCCAAAAAUACUGUGUUUGUAUAAGAAACAGAAGCAGCAAUCGACAUGCAGAUCUUCAAAAGAAUACUAAAAAAUAAAGGAAUAACAAACAACAUUUGAGUUUCCAUGUCCCAUUUGACCAAAAAUCUAAGGACGUGCUUAAUGUAAAAGAGAUUUUUCGGACCAACUUACAAAAUACUUGGAUGAACUAAUAAAUCCCAGUUUUGGGAGUAAAAGAUAUGAAUUCACAUUUAACAAUUGUAACAUAUAUUGCAUGUACCAGAAAUCAUUUUAAUUAAUUUCCAGAGAGGGUUUAGGGUAUGUAGAAAUGGAAACAGUUGUUAACAAACACUGUAGCUUCAAAAGAAUACCAAAAAAAAAUAAAAAUAAAGGAAUAACAAACAGCAUUCGAGGUACAUCACAAAUGAAACUGGCCUCUCACCGUGAGACUUCUUUUUCUCUCAACCGACUCUUCUCUUUUGGCUUCACUGAAAAUACCAAAAAAAAAAAAUGAGAUUUUAGAAAUAUUUUGAAUCCAACACACACUAAACUCUGAUAACGAUAUACCUUAGUAUACCUACUACAACAUACUAUGACCAACUUCAUUUGUCAUUCCUUUCAAACCCAAAAUAAUAAAAUUCGGGAAGACUUACCUUUCACUUUGUUGAUGCACAAAAUCCCGUGGAUCUUGCGGGUAACGUCACACAUAGAUCAUAUAAAUAUACAAUAAUGUAGUACGCCUAGUGAAAUGUGUAUGUGACUAUAAUUUAAUGAAAUUUAAUAAUGUAACAUAGAAUGCAUGUGGUGUGGUUGCCAUAGAUUAAUCUCCUUAGUGGGUUUUCCCAAACUGACCGUGAGACAGUGGAUAAUCAAAUGAAGGCUAGUCCAAAGUUUUAUUCUAAUAUUUAAAUAAUGAAUAAAAUAUUCACAAAAUGAUUAAAGUUAUAUCAUUUUAAAAGGAAGUGGCGACAAUAUCAAAGGGUAAUAAUACUAAAGUUAUGAUAUGAAUGAUUAUGGUUUGAGAUAUGCUGUGUUUCUGGUCAACAUAAUAUUAAAAUAAUAAACAAUGAGCUGGAAAUGAUGAUAACAGUGCUCUUAUCCGUUAUCAUCAUUUCUGAGUUUUUCCAUGGGUUUGACAGUGGGAUAGUGGGUUGUAUUCGUCCCCUUCAUGAUGAAAGUUUCAUCAUAACAUUUAAAUAAUAAAGGUAGUUUAAAUAAUGAAUGUAGUGGUCAUGAAUGAUUAAAGAUAAAUAAUAAAAUAUUAAAUAAACAGUGAUAAUAUUAAACAAAUCAUUUGAGAAAAGAUAAAGUUCUUAUCUUCUUCCAUGUUCUCCUGUGGGUUGGGCAUGAUCAACAGUUGCAGGAUGCAUGACCUGCUCGCGACAAGUUUGUUAGUGCCGACACUAAUUUUUUGACGAGUUAUCUAGCGACAGCAUCGCUUUGGUUGAGUAGUGAUGACAGUUUUGAGUCCCCCAGAAGUAAACUGCAUGGUUCCAGUAGAGCCGCCACGCAACGAGCACCUCUUCCAGCCAAGCAAUCGCCUCGUCAAGAGCAUUGCCUCUAGUCGAGCAGCCUCGCAACGUGUGCUACCUCUAGCCAAGUAUUGCUUGACGUUAAGCACCAUCUCAUGUCGAGUACUAGUUCUGGACGACAUCUAGUCACUUUGGCCUGCCCAUGGAUUGGAUUUGAAGUCUCCAGCCAAAAGACUCUUGACUGAAGACUUAGGUGACUCCUGUUGUACCAUAUAUUGGGCCUCGAUACAUGGGCUUCAUUACUGAGCCCAUAAUUUAUGUAAGAGAAGGAAACCCUUAUUCUAUAAAAGGGAUCCUCCUCACCUUCACUGAAGGGGGACUCAAGAAGAGACAGAGGGGAAAGGAGAGAGCAAACACUACCUCUGUCGCCUCCAUGUAUAUCCAACAUUCAUUUACACAGUGAAACGAAAUCAACGUCAGUGUGGACGUAGCCUCAACUUGAGGUGAACCACGAUAUAUCUUUGUGUUCUUGUACAUUUGUGUGAUUCACAGUCGGUUUUACGGUGGUCGAAGAUCGAUCCGAUUUUGUGCAUCAACAUUUGGCGCCGUUUGUGGGAAUCGAUACGAAAUGCUAUGUAGGAAACCCUUAUUCUAUAAAAGGGAUCCUCUUCACCUUUACUAAGGGGGGACUCAAGAAGAGAGAAAGAGAAAACAAGAGAGCAGACACUGCCUCUAGUGUCUCCAUGUAUAUUCAACAUUCAUUUACAUAGUGAAACGGAAUCAACACCAGUGUAGACGUAGCCUCAACUUGAGGUGAACCACGAUAUAUCUUUGUGUUCUUGUGCGUUUGUGUGAUUCACGGUCGGAUUUACGUUGGUCCAAGAUCCACCGGAUUUUGUGCAUCAACAUUUGGCGCCGUCUGUGGGAAUCGAUACGAAAAGCUAUGUAGAUUCUCUCUACUUUUUUCAUCAAACCUCACAACCUCCACCGUGAAUCUGCAGAAACCUAAGAACCAAACACCUGUACAGUCACUGCAAAACCCAUGUCUUCCGCUCCAGCUCCCGAUCAUGGCAGCAGCAAUGGAAACACAAUCACAGCCUCUCUCUCUUUGUGCGCAGUUGUUGAAGCUCGAAGACGCAACAAUGGCGACGAGGUUGAUACGGAGGGCCAUAGCUUCUGCGGUGGCGUCGGGAUCAACGACGACGGCGUCGUUUCGUUACGCCUGUGUCCGGGCUAUGGCGUCGGAGGCCCAGGCCCAGCAGGUGGACCUCAAAGUCCCGAGACAAAAUGAACAUCAAAACAUUCUCAAUCUACCGGUGGAACCCGGACAACCCGAAAAAGCUGGAGCUCAAGGAGUACGAGAUCAACCUCAAGGAGUGCGGGCCCAUAGUGCUUGACGCCCUCACCAAGAUCAAGAACGAGAUGGACCCCACCCUCACCUUUUGAAGAUCUUCCCGGGAAGGGAUCUGCGGCUCCUGUGCCAUGAACAUCGACGGUUGCAAUGGCCUGGCCUGCCUGACGAAGACACAGUUCAUGGAUUUUUUUUAUCUGCUGGAGCCAUGCAGUUUACUUCUGGGGGACUCAAAACUGUCAUCACUUCUCAACCCAAGCGAUGCCGACGCUGGAUAACUCGUCUAAAAAUCAGUGUCAGCGCUUGCCGCGAGCAGGUCAUGCAUCCUGCAACUGUCGGUCAUGCUCAACCCACGGGAGAACAUGGAAGAAGAUAAGAACUUUAUCUUUUCUCAAAUGAUUUGUUUAAUAUUAUCACUGUUUAUUUAAUAUUUUAUUAUUUAUCUUUAAUCAUUCCUGACCACUACAUUCAUUAUUUAAACUACCUUUAUUAUUUAAAUGUUAUGGUGAAAUUUUCAUCAUGAAGAGGACGAGUACAACCCACUAUCCCACUGACAAACCUACGAAAAAACUCACAAAUGAGAUAAAAGUAUUGUUAUCAUCCUUUCCAGCUCAUUGUUUAUUAUUUUAAUAUUAUGUUGACCAGAAACACAUCACAUCUCAAAUCAUAAUCAUUCCUAUCAUAACUUUAGUAUUAUUACCCUUUGAUAUUGUCGGUCACCUCCUUUUAAAAUGCUAUAACUUUAAUCAUUUUUUAGAAUAUUUUAUUCAUUAUUUAAAUAUUAGAAUAAAAUUUUGGGCUAGCCUUUAUUUGAUUACCCACUGUCUCACUGUCAGUUUGGAAAAACCCACUAAGGAGAUAAAUCCAUGGCAACCACACCACACGCAUUCUAUGUUACAUUAUUAAAUUUCAUUAAAUUAUAUUGUCAUACACAUUUCACUAGGCAUACUACAUUAUUGUAUGUUUAUAUGAUCUAUGUGUGAUGUUACCCGCAAUAUGCACACUUUAAUGAUUGAUUGCUUGUAUACGAUACUCAUACAAUUUAUUGAUUAAACAAGGACCAAAAUUAUGGUGGUCAACACUAUGGAUCAGCCUAUGGAUCACUGAGCCACAUGCUUAUGGUGACAAAGAUUUAGUUCGAAUGAUGAUUUCUUGUCUGACAAGACACUCACUUGCUCAGACACUUGCUUAUUUGGACACCUAUGUGCCUGAACACCCGUGAGCUUGGAUACCCAUUCGUUUGGGCACCUACGAAAUUGAACACCCUUGAGCUCGAACCUCGACUCACGGACCCAACUUAUGAACCCAACUCAAAGACCCUACAGAUGGCCGCGACUCGAUGACCCUACGUAUGGCCCCGACUUAAAGACCCGACUUGUGGACCCGAUCCGUGGAUCCGACACAGACCCAUAUACAAACCCACAAAGCGGAUCCGAGUCAUAUCGAGAAUUAACUCAUAAUGAGCUCACAUUGACGUCGAGUACAUACUCGCGACGAAGAACGCCACAAACCGAGCCGCCUUGCAACGAGCACUGCCUCCAGCCGAGCAACCGCCUCGUCGAGAGCGUUGCCUCUAGCCGAGCAGCCUCGCAACGUGUGCUACCUCUAGUUGAAUAUUACUUGACGUUAAGCACCGUCUCAUGUCGAGUAUUUAUUCUGGACGACAUUUAGUCACUUCGGCCCGUACAUGGAUUGGAUUUGAAGUCUCCAGCCAAGGCAUAGACCCAUAUACAAACCCAACAAGCGGAUCCGAGUCAUGUCGAGAAUUAACUCAUAAUGAGCUCACGCUGACGUCGAGUACAUACUCGCGAUGAAGAACGCCACAAGCCGAGCUGUCUCGCAACGAGCACCGCCUCCAGCCGAGCAACCGCCUCGCUGAGGGCAUUGCCUCUAGCCGAGCAGCCUCGCAACGUGUGCUACCUCUAACUAAGUAUUGCUUGACGUUAAGCACCGUCUCAUGUCUAGUACUAGUUCUGGACGACAUCUAGUCACUUCAGCCCGCACAUGGAUUGGAUUUGAAGUCUCCAGCCAAAAGACUCUCUUGACUGAAGACUUGGAAGACUCCUGUUGUACCAUAUAUUGGCCUCGAUAUUUGGGCCUCGAUACAUGUGCUUCAUUACUGAGCCCAUGAUUUAUGUAAGAAGAGGAAACUCUUAUUCUAUAAAAGGGAUCCUCAUCACCUUCACUGAGGGGGGACUCAAGAAGAGAGAGAGGGAAAACAAGAGAUCAGACACUGCCUCUAGAGCCUCCAUGUAUAUUCAACAUUCAUUUGCAGAGUGAAACGGAAUCGACACCAGUGUGAACGUAGCCUCAACCUGAGGUGAACCACGAUAUAUCUUUGUGUUCUCGUGCGCUUGUGUGAUUCACGGUCGGAUUUACGCUAGUCCAAGAUCCAUCGGAUUUUGUGCAUCAACACACUUCGUCAAUGGUGGCCAAACAAAAAUCCUAAACUUUGAUCUAUUCACACUUCCCUGUCUCUCAAUUGGGCACUGAAAGCUCAACACAGGAAUUGUAGGACCCCAAAUGUACUCUCUAUGCGAAAGCUGGAUCAAACAGACAGAAUACAAUACGGAUAACUCAGUAAGAAAACACAAUAUUACAAUUUUUUACAUCUAAUGCAAGAUAACUCAGUAGGAAAACACACCAUUUUGGCUAAACCGAAGUUGAGCAGACAAUACAAAUAAGGAAAUUAUGGAUUUUAAAACAACAAAUAAAUUUUGUUCAAAAUUGACUUCUGUCAAUUCCGUCCCACCAAUCAGGACUCUUCAAGUAGGUAGUACAUUUCAAGCAGAUCCUAUGUCUGCCAUUAACUAAAAACACUCUCAAAUCACACCAGCCAGCCAUACAAAGCCACUGACCACAUCAAACAUUAGGCACGAUUCCAGUAACCAAAUUCAAAGAACAGAGUUCGGAUAACGAAAUGCAAAGAACAAGAUACAUAUAGUAAAAUUCAAGAACAUGAUUCAAAGGAUUUGAACUAUAUUGUAACUUUUAAUAAUGCAUCAAGAAUUUACGAAUGUGUUUGCUCACGUAAACAUACAUCCAUUAUCAAGAUCAAAUACAACUAACAUAUGUGAAUUUACCAAAAAGAUGUAACUGAAUAUUCUGAGAACGAAUUAACUCAAAUUCUCCUAUGGGUAAGGCUCAGGAUACAAAUAUCUACUCCAAAUAUACAAGAUUGAACAAUCAAAGUUCCCACUUAGAAAAAACAAAUAGCACCCUAAAGAAAAAGUACAAGCCACGCACAAUGGCCUUGGAAGUGCAUGUAAAAUCUUAGUUUAAUGAUAAUUUCUCAAUCUACAUAUCUAGAAACUAUCAUAAACUUGACCUUUCUCAUUGCUUUAAACUAAGAUGAAUCAGGGAACAAAAAAAACCUCACCUCAAGAGCUUUCUCUUCCUCAUAAAUAAAUUUUGAUAGCUUCCUCAUCAAGUCUUUUCGGUCGACUCCCACUAGAGCAUUGCUUAUCUGUUAAUAUAUAUGAUAUAAUACGUCAAUCAAAUACAUGCUUUCGCAAAGAUUAUGUUGUGUUUGUGCAAAUCUAAGUUUUCAAAUAAGUUAAUGCUGCUAAAUAUAUCCCAGCAUAAAGAAAAUUUGGCCUGGCCAACUUUAUACAACCUUAGAGGGAAUGCUCAUUAUUAGUAACCGACAAAUACAACAGUUUGGCCAAACAAUUAUUGGUUUGAGCCAUAUACCAUGUGACCUCAGACAUUGCUGCUCCUAUACAAUUUUACCUUUGAAUUAGAGAUCCGUCUGUUGUACACUUGUCUAAUAUUGAAUUUGCAUAAAAUUAGCCUUUCAACGUAUAUGCAAAAACAAAACACAAACGAAAAGGAGUAAAAUAACAGUCAUUUCACUACGCAAAUCGUAAGUUGUUCUUGGAGUUUCUGACAAAACAAACUAUAAAACAAAAGAAUACAAGGUGAUACCAGACUUUCCAGAUUUCAGCUUCUCUUUUCCACGACUCCAUCCAAAACUGUACCUAAUACAUGCGGGUAAGAAGAAGAUAAGGAAUACAUCCAUGCGGCUAGCUGCCAAAUUGAUGUUUUCUGGUGGCUUAAGAGAAAUCAAAACACAAGGACAGGACUAUAUUGCCUUACCUACCAUGAGGAUCUUCAAGUUCCUUCUUCACCUCUUCAGCGAGAUCCAUGAGCACUGCUAUAUCAAACUAUCCUCCUACAUUAUAUGAACUGCAGUUUCAAUGAACAUAAAAAUCCUCUUUAGAAGGUUAUUGGAAUUUCAAACAUGCAGCGUGUUGUGUAUGAAUCAAUUUAUAUAAAGAAGACAAUAAAAUUCAUAAUUUACAGAAAGGGGAGAAGAUUACCAGAAAAUUGAAGUAUUUUCCCGAGAAGUAUUUUCAAGAGAGAGAGAGAGAGAGAGAGGGAGAGAGAGGGAGAGAGAGAAAUUGACGGACCUCGAAGUUGUCCUGGAUCUUGCGGGGGUCGAGGGCUUAGCCCUAGGGGUCGGCGUCGGGGUUGGUGAGCAUAUCGGGGCGCUGAUACAUGUUGGAGAGGAGGAGGGUGGGGCUGAUGCAGGCCUUGGUGUGGAGGCCGGAGUACCCUUUGUCACUCUGCAGACUGCCCUCAACCCACUCUGAUUGAGCCCGACGGAACCCUUUCUACGAUGGUCGACACGUGCACGGUAGAAGCGGUGGCAAUUUCGUAAAUAAAUCGAAAUUUUCAAUCCGUAACAGAAAAGGCAGUGGCAAACUGGCAAUUUUAUAAAUAACUAAAAAUCCAUCUCAAAACACUGUUCAUUUGUACCGCGCCAAUUUUGAUCCUUACUUUAGAUUAAAGUAAUUUAUUUAUUAUUUUGUGAGAAUUUUGAUACUUUAUUUUAUAUUUUAAUUGUAGAACAUGUGAAUCUAUUUUGAGCAAAAAACGAUGAAAUGAAAUUUUUUUGGAGUAGAUUCAUGUGUCUUUCAAGAUAAUUGUGUCGAAGUUUCAUAAUUUAUUUCUCAGCUGUUUGACCGUAAUGAAUAAAAGAAGGUUGAUCACGCAGUGCUGGCAGUUUUACAUUUUGUUCUUGUUUGGGCCAUAAGUAAUUCAAGAUGACCUUUUUUUAGGAAAGUCCUUUUUAUAAAAUGUAGACAUUUUUAUCUUUCUAACUCCACCUAGUAGGCUUGAUUUUGAGCGGAUUCGACUAGGAAACAUGUUGAAUAUUUGGCUGCCUAGAUUAUCCAAGUUAGGAUAGAAUUGUAUUUCCUAGUUUAUUAUUUUACUUGGGUUUCCAAAUUUGUUGGGAGACCUAAUUUAGAUCAUUUGUGCACACUAUAUAUAUUUAGUUGGGUCUUUUUCUAGGGCAAAAAUGUUUUUAGACUUGGAGAUCUCGGCUUAGGAGCUUUUGACGAUUUGUUACAAAGGUGUUUUCUAUCCUUUCUUCUUAAUAAUAUUUUUGCUUUUCAAUUAUAAAUAUGUGUAACUAAUUCUUUUUACUAGGACGAGUCCACGAGUCUUAGUAUAAAUAUGUAAUUUAUUUUCAAUUUGUUUAAGGCAUAUUGCUUUGAAUUAUUAAUCAUCGUGUUUAAACUAUCUUUUUGUCUUAAUACUUGAUCACCAUUAGGAUGUUUAACCAAGUAAUUUGAUGCAACUUCUGUUGGAAUGUCAUCCUGAAAUUGAGUAGGGUUUAUUGUGAUUAAUAAUUGUAAUCUCACUUAAGACGAUUGCCACGUCGUAAGUGUUGCAUGAUUUAAAAAAAAAAAUUAUUCACAAAGCUUAAUGAGUCUUGCAUGCUCAUACUUAAUAUGAAUAUCACAUAUAGAUUGAGUGUUUCAUAUACGUUUUAGCUUGAAUGCCACAAGUAGAAUAUCCAUUAGAAAAAAUGAGUUUUAACGAAACACUCCCACUACUGCUCACUUUUAACGAAAAACCACAUUUUUACAUUUCCCAAGUAUUAUUCACUACACCUUUAUUUGUCAUUUUUCAUUAAAACUAAAUAAAAAAAAGGACUUUUCGUUAGUUUUCUUUUAGAAAAACAUAACCUUCAUGGUUUGCAUGUGUCAACUUAUACGUAAUUGGUAGAACUGCAGAUGAUUGAUUUUUUCUUCAAAACUAUUUCGAUUCUUUUAUUUUCUUUUUGCUGCCGAGUUUUUACUAAAACCAAUUUCAAUUCUUUUAUUUUCUGUUUCUUUUAUUUUUUCACAAUUUCGAAUCUUGUUUUAAAUAGUCAGCUAAGAAUAAGUUUUAAAUACAAUUUAUUUAUAUCAGUUGUGUGAGUUUUAAAUACAAAUGGUUCAUACUACAAUUACCUGUUUUCUUGCAAGUAUUUCAAUCGAUACCCACCAAAAAUAUAUAUAGGAACGCACUACCUUAUUAAUGUUCCCGGACCACCACAUCCGUCACCGUUCAAGCAUUCUGCUACUUUGACUGAGUAAUGUCACAUGGAUUUUUAUAUUAAUCGGAAGAUAAAAUUUCCCUACGUAUAAAGUACCGGGAUGUGAACGAUUAGUGUUUCCGUUUGGCUUUGGAGUCUUAAUCUCUGCAAAGCCACUAGAGCCAAAGUAAAUGAAUUGAUACGGUCGGUUUUUAUAAUUCUAGUAGUCAUAUAAGAAAUUUGGUGUAAAAUUAUAAAUGAGGAGUGAAAAAUAGGAAAUGUUGAAUCUAAAGGGCUGUUUGAUGAUUAUUUUGUUUUUUUUGUUUUUUUUUUAUUUUUAGUUUUCAUAUUUUUGAAAACUGAAAUCUUGUUUGUUUAUUACUUUCAGUUUUCAAUUUUACAAAAAAUGAAAACUGAAAACCAAAAAGUGAAAACUCAAGAUCAAAUUUUAAUAACUCAAGAAAGCAGUUUUUAAUUUUUGGGUUUUUUGUUUUUAUUUUUCUUGAAAACUAAAAACUGAAAAUAGUUACUAAUUAAGAUUUUAGUUUUUAGUUUUCUAAAAAAUGAAAAUAAGAAAUGAAAAUUGGAAAAAAAAUUGAUUAUCAAACAGUUUAUUCAUUUUUAAGUAAGCAUUUACUUUUAAUAGCGGGACAAAGUCUAGCAGCCAGUUGCUGGCUCUAAAUAACCAGCCUAUCAAUAUGUUCAAUUCCUCUUGAACAUAAUUGGACGGGUUGUGUGCAAGCUGAGUGACAUUCCUAAACCUGUAAUUGCUGGUGAAGUGUAGAUGGCAAGCAGUUAUAUGAAUAAGGUGCUUUAUCUAUAGAUAUUUUUCCAGCUCUCGCAAGAAUUGUAUGGGGUCAUCCUCAGAGGUACUUCUUCAAGGAAAAUGAUCCUCACCGAAUCCUUUUUCUAGGGAUUAUCUGUGAUCGCGACCGUUCAUCGUAUAUCGUGCAGUCAGUUUUCGUUAGGUACUAUUUAUAUUUAAUUUUAAAUUUUAAAUUCUAAAAUAAUUUCUGACUGCAUGAUGGAUGGUCCCAAUCACGGAAUCCCCAAGAAAAGGAUCUAGCGCCAUAUCCUUUUCCCUUCCCCAAUCACCUUACCGAGGAAUUCUACUGUACUCCGUAUAGGUAUUUUUGUUUACGUUGGAUUGGAAAGGGAUCCUCUUCGGAUCCCUUCCACCACAUCCUCCCCAUCAAACAAUUCGAGUCCUUGAAAUUUGGUCAAACGGUUAUAAUUAUUAUAACUUUUAAAAUGAACUCUUAUUUGUAGCAGUUUAAUCAAAUUUAAAGGAUUCAGAUUAAUUGAUAGAAAGAAUUUGGUGGAAGAGAUCAGGAGAUGAUCCCUUUCCCGUUGGACUUUAGCUGAACAUUAAUUUGGGCCCUAUUUUUAUUUCCCAUUAUUCUGUUUUGAUCGAUUACUGCAUAAAAACUAUUGGAAGAGUGAAACGCUACCGUUUCAUUUUAUAAAGUGAAAAGGUAGGGCCACAGCCCUCUUCUUAUUCGCAAGUUGCCGGAGCCCUCUGCAAGUAAACUUAUUUUUCGAAUGCAGGGGCCGUGCCUCUGCCUCUCCAAAGUUUACCAAUCGCUAUCAAGAACCAACCAAUUACAUGCUCUGUUUCUCAAAACCCAUCUCCCCCACGACCCUUUUUACGCAACUAGAUUACUCAGAUUCUAUGCAAUCAACGGAGAAGUUCGCUCCGCACGUAAAGAGUGUUCGACGAAAGUCCCCACUGGAGUGUCUACCUUUGGAACUCCAUCAUUCGAGCCCACGCUCAAGCACGCGGAUUUGAAGAUGCAUUUUCUCUGUUUGCUGAGAUGCGUAGAACUGAAAUCAAACCGGAUAACUUCACUCAUGCUUGCAUUGUACGUGCCUGCGCUGAUAGUUUUGAUUUGGAUGGACUGAAGCUUGUGCAUGUGGAGUAAUGGUUGCAGGGUUGGGAUUGGACUCCAUUUGUAGCAGUGCACUUGUUUCAGCUUACUGAAGACUCAGCCUUGUUGAUGAAGCAAUCAGGGUGUUUAAUGGGAUUCGACAGCCGGAUUUGGUUUUAUGGAAUUCGAUGAUUUCGGGUUAUGGAAGUGGCGGGUUUUGGGAUACAGGUUUGCAGCUGUUUAGUGAGAUGAGAAGCCAUGGAGCUGGUGCCGGAUGGAUACACAAUUGUUGGGUUGCUUUUGGGUUUAGCGGAUUCGAGCUUGAUAAGUAUUGGAGAGGGAAUACAUGGUCUUUGUUUGAAAUGGAAUUUAGAUUCUAAUGCUCAUGUGAGCAAUGUACUUGUGAGCAUGUAUUCGAGAUGUAUGUCUAUGAAUUCUUCACAUAGAGUUUUUAGUGGUUUGUUCGAGCCAGAUUUAGUAACACGGUCUGCUUUGAUCACUGGGUUUUCGCAGUCGGGAGAUUAUGACAAGGCAUUGUUCUUUUUCAAGAAUUUGAACAUGGAAGGUAAGAAGCCGAAUUCGGUUUUGAUUGCCAGUAUGUUGGCUGCUGCUUCUCAGAUGGCGCAUGUAGGGCCUGGUUGUGAGAUACAUGCUCAUGAUUUCCUCUGCACUUAUAGCCAUGUAUUCAAAGUGCGGCUUCUUGGGGAUGGGUACUCGUGUUUUUGAGAUCAUGCCAGAGAAGAAUAUUGUUUCGUACAAUUCUUUAAUAUUGGGUCUUGGUUUGCAUGGACUUGCCUCCGAGGCCUUUAGAAUGUUUGAUGAGAUACUCAGAAACGGAUUGAAACCUGAUGAGUCUACAUUUUCUGCUCUCCCUUGUGCAUGCUGCCAUGCUGGCCUUGUCGAAGAUGGCCGGGAAAUUUUCAGAAGAAUGAAAGAUGAGUUUUGCAUUCAAGCUAGAACGGAGCAUUAUGUUCAUAUGGUGAAACUUCUUGGGAUGGAAGGAAGAUUGGAAGAGGCUUACUAUCUAAUUUUGUCCUUGCCUGAGCCAGUGGACAGCGGCAUAUGGGGAGCCCUUUUAUUGUGCUGUGAUGUAUGUGGAAAUUUGGAGCUGGCAGAAAUUGUAGCCCGAAGGCUCUUUGAAAGUAAUUUGGAGAAAAGUGCUUACAGAGUCAUGCUUUCAAAUAUAUAUGGUGGGAUGAUGCAAAGAAGUUGAGGGAUUCCAUAACAGAAGGAAAACUGAUGAAAAUGCCCGGGCUCAACUGGAUUAAAGGUAGUGAAUUUUUGUUUGAUCAAAAUAUUACUUGUAGUAGGAUUUAAAAUUAGCGACAAAACAAGCUAUCUGUACUAGGAACAGAAUAUUUUUUAUGAGUACGGAAAUCUGACAAGGCUCUUACUCUCUGCGUUAAUCGAAUGCCAUAAAAUCUCGGAUUGGUUUUGCUUGUUUUACCUUCUGAUCUUAUAAGCAGCUCUCUAGUGAUGCAUAAAGAAGGCCAGAGGCAACUAUUAAGAUAUGAAGAUGAUAAACUGAAGGAUAUAAUAUUGUAAUUAUUAAGCUAUAAAGACGAUGAAUUGUCAAAUGCAACUGUCCGUAGCAGUGGAUUUUAUUCUGCUUUGUGAUGUUUUACUGGAAUUGAAAGUGUGUAUAGAGGUGUACAAAAGAAGAAAAGUGUGUAUGGAGUCAAUCAUAAUAUUUGAGGGCCAACUACUUGUAUAUGGAAACAACCCUAACUAUUACAGCUUUGCAUUGUCAUCCUGAAUUUAUCAGACAGCUUAAAAAUUAUCUGUUCACCCGCAUUGGCUCCUCUCCAUCCGAAGAUCUCCAAACUUUAUUAGAUCCUUAUAAUUCCUUGGUGGCAGCAAUUUGUUACGCCGUUGAUAUGGUACUAAAUGAUAUGUGGAAUGUGCCUAAUUUUGUAGUUUUCCUCUCCCCCAUCAGGUGUCAAUCGUUCUGCAUGAUCAUUCAUCAAAGGCAGCAAGUCUAACUGCUCAAGUGUAGUGAGAAACUGCAAACCUUCAGGUAACGUCUUCAGCCCGCAAGCAACAGUGCAAGUGGAGGAUAUUCA